GACGAACGCUGGCGGCGUGCCUAAUACAUGCAAGUUGAGCGAUGAAGAUUGGUGCUUGCACCAAUUUGAAGAGCAGCGAACGGGUGAGUAACGCGUGGGGAAUCUGCCUUUGAGCGGGGGACAACAUUUGGAAACGAAUGCUAAUACCGCAUAACAACUUUAAACAUAAGUUUUAAGUUUGAAAGAUGCAAUUGCAUCACUCAAAGAUGAUCCCGCGUUGUAUUAGCUAGUUGGUGAGGUAAAGGCUCACCAAGGCGAUGAUACAUAGCCGACCUGAGAGGGUGAUCGGCCACAUUGGGACUGAGACACGGCCCAAACUCCUACGGGAGGCAGCAGUAGGGAAUCUUCGGCAAUGGACGAAAGUCUGACCGAGCAACGCCGCGGGAGUGAAGAAGGGUUUCGGAUCGUAAAACUCGGUUGGUAGAGAAGAACGUUGGUGAGAGUGGAAAGCUCAUCAAGUGACGGUAACUACCCAGAAAGGGACGGCUAACUACGUG
rnacentral:rRNA from 1 species